rnacentral:rRNA from 1 species
AUUGAACGCUGGCGGCAUGCUUUACACAUGCAAGUCGAACGGUAGAGGGGGCAACCCCUUGAGAGCGGCUGACGGGUGAGUAAUGCAUCGGAAGGUGCGCAGUCGGGGGGGAUAAAGAAGCGAAAGCUGUGCUAAUACCGCAUACGACCGCGGGCGGACAGCGGGGGACCUUGUGGCAAUACUGGGCCGCGCGCACCGGGAGCGGCCGAUGUCAGAUUGGCUAGGUGGUGGGGUAAAGGCGGACCAAGGCGACGAUCUGUAGCUGGUCUGAGAGGACGACCAGCCACACUGGGACUGAGACACGGUCCAGACUCCUACGGGAGGCAGCAGUGGGGAAUUUUGGACAAGGGGCGCAAGCCUGAUCCAGCAAUGCCGCGUGCAGGAAGAAGGCCUUCGGGUUGUAAACCGCUUUUGUACGGAACGAAAAGGUUUGGGUUAAUACCCUGGGCCGAUGACGGUACCGGAAGAAUAAGCACCGGCUAACUACGUGCCAGCCGCCGCUGUAA